GACAGAGGUCCCGAGCGUUAGGCGGAAUCACUGGGCUUAAAGCGUGUGUAGGCGGAUCGUUAAGUGCCUUGUGAAAUCCCAUGGCUUAACCAUGGAACUGCUCGGCAUACUGGCGAUCUUGAGCCACUUAGGGGCAACCGGAACAAAUGGUGGAGCGGUGAAAUGCGUAGAUAUCAGGAGGAACACCGAUGGCGAAGGCAGUUCUCUGGGCCGUAACUGACGCUGAGGAGCGAAAGCGUGGGGAGCGAACAGG
rnacentral:rRNA from 1 species